AUAAUUACGGAGAUAUAUAUACUUUCGUUUGAAAGAUAUGGAACAAAUACAGAUUUCACUGGUUUACUCGAAAGUGUAAUUUUGAACUUUAGGAGAUUUGAACUUUAGACGGCCUCAACAUUACAAAUAAGUGUGGAAUUAUUGGGACGCACCUCCAAGAGCCUGCGAGCAAAUGAACUUUUAGAUGGAGUACUCAUUUGAGCAAGAUUUCGCAACUAAGUUGUGUUUUCAAAGGUCAAAGAGGCCGUAUGGCUAGAAUGCCUCGUCCUCGGACCUUCACCACGACCAGGUGGCAAUCACUUGAUGCCUCUUUGUCAGCAACACAAGUCAGAUGUUAUUCAAAAGAAUUUGUUUUAAGGUUGUUACCAUUAUUAUGUGACUUAAUUAACGACAUUGGAGUCAUGUUGUAUGUGUAGUAGACUGUCAGCUCUCAAAAUAUGUUGUAUGUAUCAGCUCUCUGAGAUGGCAUGUGAGCAUUUUUAACUUUUGGAGAACAAAAGGUGUAGAAAAAUAUAUAUUGUACUUCCCUUACCCCAAAAAAGAAUGUAAUGGAAGGACAAAAUUAUAAUGUCAGA